rnacentral:rRNA from 1 species
UACGGAGGGGGCUAGCGUUGUUCGGAAUUACUGGGCGUAAAGCGCGCGUAGGCGGCUUUGUAAGUUAGAGGUGAAAGCCCGGAGCUCAACUUCGGAAUUGCCUUUAAGACUGCAUCGCUAGAAUCAUGGAGAGGUUAGUGGAAUUCCGAGUGUAGAGGUGAAAUUCGUAGAUAUUCGGAAGAACACCAGUGGCGAAGGCGACUAACUGGACAUGUAUUGACGCUGAGGUGCGAAAGCGUGGGGAGCAAACAGG